UCUGCCUUAUCGGCGAGCGGUCCCACUAAAGUGCCCAACUAAAUGCUGGCAACUAGUGGCAAGGGUUGCGCUCGUUGCGGGACUUAACCCAACAUCUCACGACACGAGCUGACGACAGCCAUGCAACACCUGUCUCCACGUCCCCGAAGGGAACCCCUACUUUCAUAGGAUAGCGUGGGAUGUCAAGCCCAGGUAAGGUUUUUCGCGUUGCAUCGAAUUAAACCACAUACUCCACCGCUUGUGCGGGCCCCCGUCAAUUUCUUUGAGUUUUAACCUUGCGGCCGUAAUCCCCAGGCGGGACACUUAACGCGUUGGCUACGACACCGAGAGGGUAAAGCUCCCGACAUCUAGUGUCCAUCGUUUACGGCGUGGACUAC
rnacentral:misc_RNA from 1 species